rnacentral:rRNA from 1 species
UACGGAGGGUGCAAGCGUUAAUCGGAAUUACUGGGCGUAAAGCGCACGCAGGUGGCUGAGUAAGUCGAUUGUGAAAGCCCUGGGCUUAACCUGGGAAUUGCAGUCGAAACUACUCGGCUAGAGUAUGGGAGAGGGCAGUGGAAUUCCCGGUGUAGCGGUGAAAUGCGUAGAUAUCGGGAGGAACAUCAGUGGCGAAGGCGGCUGCCUGGCCCAAUACUGACGCUGAGGUGCGAAAGCGUGGGGAGCAAACAGG